GCUAUAGCGUAUUAGCGUGGCUUACUUGUGUUGCUUACUAACACCAUUUCCGUUUGAUUUGAUUUGUCAAUUAUCAUUUAUGAGUAUCACUUAUAAGUAUGAUUUGACAUAAGAAAUAAUUAUAUAUGCAGUAGUGGUGUGUGUAAAUUGCAAAGCAAGAUUAGAAGUGGGGUUUUCCUAUCUAAAUCCAGAUCAUUAUGCACCAACUUCGUCCUUAUCUCGCACCUUACCACUUUCAAAUCAUAUUUAUGUUUUAAAAAUCAAAUCUUGAAAGCAAGCAAGCAUGCAGUUAAGAGAUUA